rnacentral:rRNA from 1 species
UACGUAGGGCGCAAGCGUUGUCCGGAAUUACUGGGCGUAAAGCGCGCGUAGGCGGCUUUGCAAGUCGGAUGUGAAAUCCCCAGGCUUAACCUGGGAACUGCAUUCGAGACUGCAUUGCUAGAGUAUGGGAGAGGGAAGUGGAAUUUCCGGUGUAGCGGUGAAAUGCGUAGAUAUCGGAAGGAACAUCAGUGGCGAAAGCGACUUCCUGGACCAAUACUGACGCUCAUGUGCGAAAGCGUGGGGAGCAAACAGG